GGCGGAGUGGCCGAGCGGCUCAGGCGGGGGUCUGCAAAACCCUUUACGACGGUUCGAAUCCGUCCUCACGCCU
rnacentral:tRNA from 1 species